rnacentral:lncRNA from 12 species
UUAAUUUCGAUCACGAUUUCGAUAUUGUUUCGAUAUGAUUUUCGAUAUGAUUUCGAUAUUGUUUAAUGCAUUUGAGAUGCUGUUUUUUUUUUUCCUAAAUUUUUCAUCUGUAAAUGUUAGGAAGUCAUGCAGAUAUAUCCAUUUUGCUGUCAGGAGUGGGCGAGACUUUGCACGCUAAACAGAUGGAACGCAAUAGAAUAAUGGGGCAAUCAUUCUGAAUAAAAUAUGCAUUCUGCUAAAAAAUUUUUGUUGGGCAUUAAAUAUGACACAUUUUUAAUCCUACAUAUAAGUUAAUUUUUUAUCAUAGCAGUAACUGUAAAUCAGAUGUAAGCUGCUAAUACAGCCCUACUAUACGGUGGCCGAGAAGGGUCACAACACGUACAAACGCCUCAACAACUACAUAUUCAGAAAACACCUCCAAAUUCAGAAAACACAUGCAAACGCCGCCACAACAACUACAUAUUCAGAAAACACCUCCAAAUUCAGAAAACACAUACAAACGCCACAACAACUACAUAUUCAGAAAACAACUUCGUCAAUUUCACAUCACGUACGCUGCAAAUAUUCACAGCACGAGCAAAUAGGGAAACGAACUGCAAACUGCAAAGACACAACGGAAAUGUUUCCGGGGGGCCAUAAUCAGUGACGGACCCGCAUCCAUCCGGUUGUCUUCGCGCUAUCCGAAUGUGCGCUUUUGUUGUUUAUGGCUACAAGAGAUUGAAAUGUUCUGUCCGUUUUGUGCUGUGCAACUGGGGGACGCUCCCAAGUUUUGCCCGUCGUGUGGUCUAAAAGUGGGGUUCCUUACGGAGCGUCCAUCCACGUCAUCAAGCGUAGGCCAUGGGCCUACAGUGAAUGAGACAAGUAUCCAAGGAAGAGCAGCUCAAUUCAUGAGGUUCAGGGAAGUUAAAGAGGCUGAGAGGAGGACCUUUUCAAAGGCUAAAAAGAAACCAAACAUUACGGUCAAGAUUUCGAUUGGCAUAAUGACCAGAACAAAAUAUGGGUUAAAACCUAUAAGAGGGAAAACCUUGCCAUUAAAUGUUGAACCCCUGUGGUCAUCAAAACAAAUUUUGCCAGCUGCUAUAAAAAAACAGCGAGAUUUUAAUCAAGACACAAUGUACGAUGGAGAAUAUGUUCUGGUCUAUCCUGAUGGCUCUCAGGUACAAAAUAUACCAGGCACAGACAGACCCUUUGUCCUUGAACAUUAUAAAGAGGCCAUUGGAAAGGCUUACCAGAGGAUCGUACUGUACAUCUGCCCCCUUCAGGAUUUGAGUCAUGGAGAUGACUCAUCUUCAGAAUCCGAUGAUGAAGCAUUUGCUAGGCUUCCAAUGAAAAUUUUACCAAAACAGUGUCCACCAACAAUGUCCAGGCCAUCUGAUGGGCAAGCCAACGGAGCAGGAGCAGAACCCAAAAACACCACAUCAUGUGACUUCUACAACACAUAUACCAAGAUCUAUGCCCCAGUUGUCAUUGACAGCAGUUGCUCUGAUGUUGAGGACGUAGAGAAUUUUCAGGAGGAAGACAGAGACACAGAUAUUGGACUGACGGCUGCAGACAUUCUGUCAAAUCUGUCAUUCAACAUAAACACAAAAAGCUGUAGCAGGUUUAAUAUAAACCGUUCUAAUGUCUGGGAUGGUGCUCUGAGGGGAUUCAAACGUUCCUCAUUUGACCCCACCUGUAGCCUUUUGGUCAAAUUCACUGAUGACAUCGGGCAAACAGAGGAGGCUGUGGACACAGGAGGGCCUACGCGGGAAUUUCUGACACUCUUGAUGGACGCCAUUAAAACCAGUAGAUUUUUUGAAGGCAAAGAUGAUGGCAAAUACCUGUCAUUUGAUAGCAAAAGUAAUUCGCUUUUUGUCACAUUUUGA